rnacentral:tRNA from 1 species
GGUUGUUUGGCCGAGCGGUCUAAGGCGCCUGAUUCAAGAAAAUUAAAACAUCUUGACUGUGGAACACCACAGGAAUACUCAGGUAUCGUAAGAUGCAAGAGUUCGAAUCUCUUAGCAACCA